rfam:Oryza sativa (indica cultivar-group) chromosome 8, whole genome shotgun sequence.
AAAAGGCAAAACCCUGGGUUUCCGUGUCCAACUUUAACUGUCCGUCUUAUAUAAAAUUUUUUUAUAAUUCAUAUUUUCAUUGUUGUUAGAUGAUAAAACAUGAUUAAUAUUUUAUGUGUGACUUGUCUUUUAAAUUUUUUUCAUAAUUUUUUUAAAUAAGACGAACGGUUAAACGUUGGGCACGGAAACUAGGGUUUGUCUUUUU